GUGUAUUAAAAACAGCAAGAUGUACAACCUGCAGCAGUACCUCCUCCAGCAGCAGAGGGCUGAGUCCUGUCCACCGCCUGCAGAAGUCUCUUCUACAUCGGCUGCUUCCACACACACAUCUAGAUCUCUUGUGAUGGAGGAGGAUGAGGAGCUGGAGAGAGCGAUGUUAAACCUGCCUCCAUCUGAAUUUGACAUUGAAUUCAAGCCACCAGCAGAAGUCUCCAGUGCCCCAGCUGUAUCUCUAUCAACAGGUUUUACUCUAUCAGUGUGGAGGGAGGAUUCUGUUUGAACCAGAAUUCACCUGCCAUUACUGUUCUGUCAACUAGUUUGUUGUUUUGGCCAUGUUCCGGCCUGUUCUGAUGCUUGUGUUCUUUUACUCUCCUACUAACAUAAGGAAUUAACAUGUCAGCGAUGAUGCUCACAGGACAAAGCCAACAGCUACAGCUACUGUUUCCAGACCUGCUGAGCCUAGUGACCCCCCUGUGAAAGCUACAGUGAAGACCCCACUGCCAGUCCCUCCUCAGCUGCUUGCCAUCGCUCCACAACUUGGGAUAGAAGAGCAGACGCCCAAAGUGUUUAGACAAACACAUGAAAAGCCAGUCUCCCACAGUUCAUCUUCUGGGCCUGGGAUAACAGCAGCUCCAUGUCUUCCUGAAGAUUCAUCAUUACAGAAUAUUGCCCCUGUGGAAGCACAAAUAGACACUGUCCUUGAUGAAGCUUCGCCAUGUCCAGCACCUCCUGUCCCAUUAGAUGCCCCACACCAGCCUGCAGCCUCUGUCCCAGGCCAUGAUCAAGAUGUUGCACAGUGGAACUGCUCCCAGCAGCAGAAGAUCUGGAUGAAGACUGAGAUGGAGGCGUUGGGGCUCUGGCCGGGGUCACGCCCAGUACGUCACCUGAUGAACAUGCUGUCCCUGUGGCGUUAUCCACCUCAGCCUGAGCUCAUCGACUCAAUCUCUGAGCUGCCCUCACCAAAGUACUUUCAGCUUCAUCCAUUUUUCAUCUGGAAGCCAGAGCACACAAUCAUGGAGAGGGUUAGAAACAAUUACAUCUUGCCCUGUCUUUAUGGCUGUCCCAACCCUCAGGUAGCUUCCUCUGGCGUCGGAAGGCCCAGAGUCGUCAUUGGCACCAGCGGACAGUAUUAU